AUGACAAAGCUGCCACUGGAUUACACUGUUGUACGAGGACAUCCCUACAUGGGUUCAAUUGUUGUUGUACAAAUGGUUGUUGUUCCUGAGCUGGUUGUUCAUGUUGUUGUGGGAAUGGUUGUUGUUGCGGUUGGGGAUAGGGUGGUUGUUGUGGUGGGGGAUAGGGUGGUUGUUGUGGAAAUAGUUGUUGCCCAAAUGGUAACUGUUGUGGUGGAAAUGGGUGUUGUUGUGGAGUUGAUCGCUCCUCUCGAAAUGGUAGUUGUUGUGGUUGUGGAAAGGGUGGUUGUUGUUGUGGUUGCUGUGAAAAUGAUUUUUGUGGCUGCAACUAGGGAAGUGUCACAUCGGAGGUGA
rnacentral:rRNA from 1 species